UUGAGAAGCGCCCUUUGAUCUGUGCACAACUUGUUGAUCUGCUGGCACAUCGAAAUGUCUGUAGGUUGCUACAUCCCGAGCUGUUACAAACAAGAUGCUGUAAAAUCUGUAGACAUUGAAAAUCAAAGUAAUAGAGCAUCUGUGGAAAAGAGUCUUGGCCCGAGCCGUCGACUGUACUUUUUCCCAUAUAUGCAGCCUGGCCUGCUAAGUUCCUCCAGCAUCUUGUGUGUUGCAGGAGUAGGUGCUGAGGGACGUACUGGAGCUUGGUGCGGCCAUCACAGGGACUCGGUGAUGAAGGGCCCAAAAAGCCCCAAAACCCUCCUGGACCGGGAGGGGCCCUCAGUUACCGUAGUCGUGAACCGACACCGUGUCCACAUGAGUAGCAACAGUCCUAAUGGUUGUAAGGAAUGCGAUAGAACACCACACAAUGUCUUCAGAUGGGGUUUCAACAAUGCCCUCCCAAUAUAACUGAAACAUAAUUUCCCUAUGUAUGUAUUCAAAUCCACCAGCAAUAGCAGAAACAUAUAAUUAUCAUAUUUCAUAAUGACUUGCCCUGACUCCACGACAUCUCAGAAUACUGCUUUUUUCUCUAAAAUUGAAUAUUCCCUACAUUGAAUCGUGUAAGGUUCUUUUGAAGACCCUGACCUGGAGUUACACUCUGACUUCGGUUCUUUGCGGGAAUGGGACCCGCUCUCAGGGCUUCAUGUCCAGCCGUUUUUCAAUAUCCCAAGGACGUGGCCUGGAAGACGAGUGCCUUCAGUGUCCCGGAUUUUCGUGGCUCUGGAGACGGGCUGAUUUUAGGCCGGUGCCCCAGACUGAGGCACUGUGGGAGAACACGGAACAUCAGAAGCGGCAGGUUUGCUGCCGGUUGUGUGUCCAGAGACCAGAGCUCUUUGGGCACAGAGCUCAGAAAAAGCAACACAACAGACUUUUAACAUCAUAAAUCAACGAGUCUCCCCUCUCGCUGUGAAACGGGGACGCCUCUUUUUCUCUUAUUAGGGAGAGAGAGCGCCUGUGGUCUAUCGAAUACCAGGUAAACUACUAGUCUUUGGGGUACUGCAAGUCUGUGUCUUUAUUGAUGCUUUGCUGCACACUUGAGUGCUCGGUGGGGGGUGCUGAUGUUUUCUGCUGGUGGGGAGGGGGUCAUUGCUUA